rnacentral:rRNA from 1 species
UCCUACGGGAGGCAGCAGUGGGGAAUAUUGCACAAUGGGCGCAAGCCUGAUGCAGCAACGCCGCGUGAGGGACGAAGGCCUUCGGGUUGUAAACCUCUUUUAGUAGGGAAGAAGCGACUGGGUUUUCCUGGGAGUGACGGUACCUGCAGAAAAAGCACCGGCUAACUACGUGCCAGCAGCCGCGGUAAUACGUAGGGUGCAAGCGUUGUCCGGAAUUAUUGGGCGUAAAGAGCUCGUAGGCGGUUUGUCGCGUCUGCUGUGAAAACCCGAGGCUCAACCUCGGGCCUGCAGUGGGUACGGGCAGACUAGAGUGCGGUAGGGGAGAUUGGAAUUCCUGGUGUAGCGGUGGAAUGCGCAGAUAUCAGGAGGAACACCAAUGGCGAAGGCAGAUCUCUGGGCCGUAACUGACGCUGAGGAGCGAAAGCAUGGGGAGCGAACAGGAUUAGAUACCCUGGUAGUCCAUGCCGUAAACGUUGGGAACUAGAUGUGGGGACCAUUCCACGGUCUCCGUGUCGCAGCUAACGCAUUAAGUUCCCCGCCUGGGGAGUACGGCCGCAAGGCUAAAACUCAAAGGAAUUGACGGGGCCCGCACAAGCGGCGGAGCAUGCGGAUUAAUUCGAUGCAACGCGAAGAACCUUACCAAGGCUUGACAUAUACCGGAAACGGCUGGAAACAGUCGCCCCGCAAGGUCGGUAUACAGGUGGUGCAUGGUUGUCGUCAGCUCGUGUCGUGAGAUGUUGGGUUAAGUCCCGCAACGAGCGCAACCCUCGUCCUAUGUUGCCAGCACGUAAUGGUGGGAACUCAUGGGAUACUGCCGGGGUCAACUCGGAGGAAGGCGGGGAUGACGUCAAAUCAUUAUGCCCCUUAUGUCUUGGGCUUCACGCAUGCUACAAUGGCCGGUACAAAGGGCUGCGAUACCGCAAGGUGGAGCGAAUCCCAAAAAGCCGGUCUCAGUUCGGAUUGAGGUCUGCAACUCGACCUCAUGAAGUCGGAGUCGCUAGUAAUCGCAGAUCAGCAACGCUGCGGUGAAUACGUUCCCGGGCCUUGUACACAC